AUACGUAGGUGGCAAGCGUUGUCCGGAUUUACUGGGUGUAAAGGGCGUGUAGCCGGGAAGGCAAGUCAGAUGUGAAAUCUGGAGGCUCAACCUCCAAACUGCAUUUGAAACUGCUUUUCUUGAGUACCGGAGAGGUAAUCGGAAUUCCUUGUGUAGCGGUGAAAUGCGUAGAUAUAAGGAAGAACACCAGUGGCGAAGGCGGGUUCAGGGACGACAAUGGAACGUGAGUCGCGAAAGCUGGGGGAGCAAACAGCAUUAGCAACCCGGGUGGCCCGCGCGGUAAAGGAUCAAUCCUAGGUGUGCGGGGAAAGCGCCUCUGCGUGCCGCAGGUAAAACAAUAAGUAAUGCCCCUGGGGAGUACGGUCUCAAGGUUGAAACUGAAAGGAGUUGGCUGGG
rnacentral:rRNA from 1 species